CGGUUUACAAUGAUCAAUGGAGCUAUGGAAACAGGAGACACCGCGCUGGAGCCUGCUGGCCUCCCAUCUGGAGCCUCGCAGGCACUGAAGACAGCAGCAGCUGGGGGUGUAUUUCGAAGGCGAGGGAUGACUAGCAAGUAUGAGCCAGAUGAGACCUCUGGGGUGACCUGGAAUUACAGAGGCCACUCAUUCUCGGAAUAGGGUUAUGAAAACUAUAAUAUUGUAGAGAUGAAAAGGACCUGUGAAGACCACCUGAUCUGUCAACUUUCUCAAAAGACCACACCUACAUGUAGACAAGUAGGUGUGUGACCUUAAAAACUUUAGGCUCUCAGAACUUCCGGUGUCUCACUAUAUCAUGAAAGGAAGUUCUUCCUUUUGUGUGACCUAUA